GUACGUUUUCACCUCGGGUGACAGGGAGACAGGUGGUGCGAUGGUUGUCGUCAGCUCGUGUCGUGAGAUAUUGGGUUAAGUCCCGCAACGAGCGCAACCCCUACGUUUAGUUGCUAACGCGUGAAGGCGAGCACUCUAGACGAACUGCCGUUGACAAAACGGAGGAAGGUGGGGAUGACGUCAAGUCAGCAUGGCCUUUAUGUCCUGGGCUACUACACACGCUACAAUGGCCAACACAAUAGGUUGCUAAGCCGCGAGGUGGAGCCAAUCCUCAAAGUUGGUCUCAGUUCAGAUUGCAGGCUGCAACCCGCCUGCAUGAAGAUGGAGUUGCUAGUAACCGCAGGUCAGCUAUACUGCGGUGAAUACGUUCCCGGGGCUU
rnacentral:rRNA from 1 species